AAACUCCUCUUUAUUUAAAAGAGUUCUACAACUUUCUCUUUCAUUGUCUUCUUCGCAUCCUUGCAUCCUGAAGCAGCAGGUUCUUCGCCUUUCUCCAAAUUUUAAGCCAACAAAUCAUUAAUUUUCAACCAAAUUUAAGAUCACAUUGUAAGCGGUUGAAUUCUUUAGGACGAUAAACUCAGCAUGCACUACUCGAACAUCAACACCUCCCACAGUAAAAAAGAGAUCAAUCUUCCCAUCAUGCUUAAUGAAGUGAUCUCCUAAACCCACUACCCCAGGAAGGUAUGGCUUCAGAUGUUGAUCCUUCAAUCCUAAUGCAUCAUAAGCAUUAACCAUGAUUCUUUUCACUAUUUUAUUUUCCAAUUUUGCAGUAAUUACCAACGGCUCAUCAUCAUCAUAUGUGACAUAUUGGAUCUUUACUUUGAAUGAUAAAGGUUAUUCUUUUUUUCCCUCUUUCUGUUCUUGGUUUCAGAUCUUGAAUUCGAUUUUUUUUUCCUUCAAUUUUGAGUUCAAGCAACAUAAAAAAUUAG